rnacentral:rRNA from 1 species
AGAGUUUGAUCAUGGCUCAGGACGAACGCUGGCGGCGUGCUUUAGACAUGCAAGUCGAACGAGAUCUUCGGAUCUAGUGGCGAACGGCGGAGUAAUACAUAACAACGUGCCCUGAAGACUGGGAUAUACGGUCGAAAGGCCGAGCAAUACCGGAUGUGGCCGAGACUAGGCAUCUAGACUCGAUUAAAUGGUUUUUCGCUUCAGGAGCGGUUUAUGACUCAUCAGCUAGUUGGUAGGGUAAUGGCCUACCAAGGCUACGACGGGUAGGGGGUCUGAGAGGAUGAUCCCCCCGAGUGGGACUGAGACACGGCCCACACACCUACGGGUGGCAGCAGUUUGGAAUCUUGCCCAAUGGGGGAAACCCCUGAGGCAGCGACGCCGCGUGGAGGAUGAAGGAUUUAGGUCUGUAAACUCCUUUUGCCAGGAAAGACUUAGGACGGUACCUGGCGAAUAAGCUCCGGCUAACUACGUG